CAGAGCAUAGCCAAGUUAGUAAAGCAUCUCCCUUACACCGAGAAGUCGUCUGUGCAAAUCAGACUGCCCUGA
rnacentral:tRNA from 1 species